GACAGAGGAUGCAAGUGUUAUCCGGAAUCACUGGGCGUAAAGCGUCUGUAGGUGGUUUAAAAAGUCCACUGUUAAAAAUUGAAGCUUAACUUCAAAGAUGACCGUGGAACUUUUAAACUUGAGUAUGAUAGGGGUAGAGGGAAUUUCCAGUGGAGCGGUGAAAUGCGUAGAUAUUGGAAAGACCACCAAUGGCGAAGCACUCUACUGGGCCAUUACUGACACUGAGAGACGAAAGCUAGGGGAGCGAAUGGG
rnacentral:rRNA from 1 species